UGAAGAUGUAGAACUCUCAGCUCCUCCUGUACCAUGCCUGCCUGGAUGCUGCCAUCUCCCCACCUUGAUGAUACUGGACUGAACCUCUAAACCUAGUCUCUCACUCAACCCAGAGCUCACCAGUCCAGCAUGCAUCGAUUCUCUCAGCUCCCAACUACGGAUGUGACUAGCUGCCUCAGGUUCCUGCUGUCCUGACUUCUCUCUACCCUGGAACUGGAGGUUUCUUCUUUGAAGUUGCCUCUGGCAGGGCAACUCAUCACUGCAACGGGAAAGAAACCAGGACAGCUGGGUAUCUGGCUGCAGAAGUGAAAACACGCACCUGUCUCGAGGCCUCAGGACCAGUGAUAGCUCUGCCAGCCUGCAGGUGCGGCUUCUUGGCUUGCUUCACGGGCGAUGAACUCCUUUCCCCCUGAAAUCGUUAUUAUUAUUACUAUUAUUGUUUACGAGAGCCAUCCUGCCAGGAGAAACAACUGCAAGAAGAGAACUGGAUUUCCCAGUUCCAGAGGCUGGGCGUCGGCAGAAUCCAAGGUGAGGCUGGUUCCUGCUGUGGCGGCUCUGUGUCCGAGGCUGCCUUUUCCCACUGCGGGCUCCUGGCUUUUCCCUCUGGGAUGUCCUUGGUGUCCCUACUCUCAAGUACACCGGUCACACCGGACCACUGUCUAUUUUUGUGAUCUCAUCUUAACUUGGUGAUCCCUUACAAUCAUGUUGAGGAGUCCUGCGGGGUUGGGGCUUCAAUGUGUGGGUGGCGGCAGUGGGGCGGGGCAUACUCUAGGUGGAGCAGCCUGCUUGACUUCUGUUGGUGGAAAUACUGGCUACGCAGGGGAGCAGGGGCCCAGGUGCAGCCAUCAAAGGAAGGGUGGUAGGGAGAGAGACAGAGAAGCAGACAUCGGACGAUUGGGUAAGAUGGCCUCGUGCUGGGACUGAGCAUGGAGAAGGCACUGGAGGUUUCAAGAGCCAUUUUGACUGGGACUGUCAUCUCCAGGGACAAGUUGUGGUCAGUGAAGCUGAAGAAGGGGCUUUGUCAGAGGCAGCACCAGUAAAGCAGCCUCCCUGGUGAUGGUGACUGCUCAGGCCCAGGCCCUGGCCCCUGGUUAGGGAUUGCUGAGGUGAAACAGCGUUAGUGUCAGUGUGCAGGCAUGUCAGAGCUGCAUGGGGUGGGGUGGGGAUGGAUAUCUGUUGUCCAGUGACUGCUGGCCUUCAAGCUGUGGCACUGUAGAGCCACAGCUCUAGGAAUCCACGGCUACAUGCACGUAGAGACGGCGAGUCUGGCUUCGGUCUCUUCACAUACAGAGACGUCUUCAUUCCUCAGCUAAUAAAGCACCAGUGGCCUGAUGCAUGCGGGCCAGGAGCAAGGCUGCAGUAGAGCCUGCUUUCCUUUGGUCUCUCCGCCAGGGUCAUCCUCUGAAGCAGACACACAGCCUGAUAAACUCAGCUUUAGGAAGGCACAAUGGGCUGGCCCGGUGGCCCCUAGCUGAGGUAUCAGGGAUUCUGGGGUAGUAAGGGCAGAUGCUAAGCUGAAUCUGCAGGCGCAAGGAGUUCUGGAGAAUAAGGAUGGAGGAAUGGGGAAACCCCCAGCUCGUUCCAAAUCCCCCAUAGGGCCCCAAGGCUGCCGAUUCUCCUUCCUGAACAAUCUGUCAAAGGCUUUGCAGCUCCAGAGGAGGUCACAGGGCUCAGAAAACAGCAGUGAAGAGGAAGAAGGGGCUAGCCUGGGGUAGAGGGGAGAGCUCUGGUGGGGACAAGUCUCCUGUUGAGUUUUCAAACUGCCUCUGGAGGCUUCCUUGAAAUCCUCCCCAGGGGGAGGGAAGUAUGAUGGAGAACAGGACCUGCUCUUUGCCAGCUGCCCAGCUCCAGGGACGCCAGCAAGGCUUUGCCUAAGGAAGAAGUUCUGCAGGAGGAAGAUGGAGAUGACAAGUCUACGGAUGGGCUCUUUGUCCUCUGCGUGCCUUCUUAGACCUGGACAACCCUGAGAAGCAGGGAGAGAACUGUGGGAUGUGGCUGUCUGGGCGGCAUUAACUCUCUAAACUGGAUGAACACUGUGAAAAGGUUGCACUGUGGUUCAAGCUCUUGGGCAUCAGACACAAGUCAACAAAGUCAUCCUGCCCCACACUGGCAGCCAUCCUGUAGACGCCACACUCACACAGUGCUGACUUUGGAAAGACACACUUGGGUGCCCUUUUUGCCAAAUAAGUCAGUUUCUGUAUGAGUAUAUAAACACAUAUAAAUAUGUACAUAUCUA